CUCUGUCCCACUGCAUUGAGAACCACCUGAGCCACCUCGGCCGCCGUCUGUCCCUGGGCCGUGGUCUUGUCCAUAACUGCCAAGGGAAAGCCCAGUGAGCAUCAGUAUCAGCAGACAGGAACUGGGCAGAUUAUCCAUCUCUGCCUGAGGGCUGCAGCAAGCCAAGAACCCAGUCAGGAGCAGCAACCUGCUUUGGCAGCUUCCAGGCUGGAGUCUGAAUCAACAGGUUCCUUUGCUAUUCUGAGCGUCGUGGUGACACGGAGGAGAGAAGAUGUGCCACCCAUUCUGCAGCCCCUGUUCCAGCAGUAAUGAUCUCCAGAUGAAGGACAGGAAGAAGCUGGAAAUAGUAAUAUCAGAAAUAGUCCCCGGAGGGGCUGUCAGCCCUCGAGUCCCACCUCCAGUGGCAUUCUGAGUUCACGCUGUGAGUAAAACUCCCGAAUUUCUCACCAAGCCUGCAGUGAACUUGGUGGGGAUUUUGCAAGCCUAAGCCCUGGGGGGUUUGAUGCCAUCUCUGUCUGUUUUAUUUGGAAGACUGAGCUCAGAGCAAGAUUUUAUGAAGUGUGCCUUUCUAUCUCAAAUUUUAGACAGCGUUAACUAGAAACCCACAUACUCUGGAUUUGACAGAAAUCAUCUCUGGCUGCAGAGAUUUGCUGCAGAGCCAAAGGUUUUCUUUAAUACUAAAUAAAAUAACCC